CCUACGGGGUGCAGCAGUGAGGAAUAUUGGUCAAUGGACGAGAGUCUGAACCAGCCAAGUAGCGUGAAGGAUGACUGCCCUAUGGGUUGUAAACUUCUUUUAUAUGGGAAUAAAAUGUUCCACGUGUGGGAUUUUGUAUGUACCAUAUGAAUAAGGAUCGGCUAACUCCGUGCCAGCAGCCGCGGUAAUACGGCGGAUCCGAGCGUUAUCCGGAUUUAUUGGGUUUAAAGGGAGCGUAGGUGGAUUGUUAAGUCAGUUGUGAAAGUUUGCGGCGCAACCGUAAAAUUGCAGUUGAAACUGGCAGUCUUGAGUACAGUAGAGGUGGGCGGAAUUCGUGGUGUAGCGGUGAAAUGCUUAGAUAUCACGAAGAACUCCGAUUGCGAAGGCAGUUCACUGGACUGCAACUGACACUGAGGCUCGAAAGUGUGGGUAUCAAACAGGAUUAGAUACCCGGGUAGUC
rnacentral:rRNA from 1 species